rnacentral:rRNA from 1 species
AUUGAACGCUGGCGGCAGGCCUAACACAUGCAAGUCGAGCGGAUGAAGGGAGCUUGCUCCUGGAUUCAGCGGCGGACGGGUGAGUAAUGCCUAGGAAUCUGCCUGGUAGUGGGGGAUAACGUCCGGAAACGGGCGCUAAUACCGCAUACGUCCUGAGGGAGAAAGUGGGGGAUCUUCGGACCUCACGCUAUCAGAUGAGCCUAGGUCGGAUUAGCUAGUUGGUGGGGUAAAGGCCUACCAAGGCGACGAUCCGUAACUGGUCUGAGAGGAUGAUCAGUCACACUGGAACUGAGACACGGUCCAGACUCCUACGGGAGGCAGCAGUGGGGAAUAUUGGACAAUGGGCGAAAGCCUGAUCCAGCCAUGCCGCGUGUGUGAAGAAGGUCUUCGGAUUGUAAAGCUCUUUAAGUUGGGAGGAAGGGCAGUAAGUUAAUACCUUGCUGUUUUGACGUUACCAACAGAAUAAGCACCGGCGAACUUCGU